rfam:Parcubacteria bacterium GW2011_GWA2_47_12 TX81_C0037, whole genome shotgun sequence.
GGGCCUAUAGUUCAGCGGUAGAACGACGCCAUGGCAUGGCGUAGGUCGGGGUCCGACUCCCCGUAGGUCCA